UCUGUAUUAACCCCUCUCUCUCUCAGUGCAGUGUUCAUGUACUGGAGUGUCCAGUAAGUCUCAAUCUGUAUUGCUCUUUGCCUGUAGAGAGCUCACCUUCGCCCUCUACUGGAACAGUGUGGAUUGGCACCCAAGAUGGCAGUGUCCUCGUCCAUCCAGCAGCGGGGGACAUCCGACGCUGCCUGCAGUCCGUCAGCCUGAGAGAGGGGGUCCACUCCAUCACCCACGCCCGGGGCCUGGUGAUCGCUGGACUGGCCGACGGUACGCUGGCCUUUUUCUCCCGUGGCCCAGACGGCAGCUGGGAUCUCCAGUCGCACGCCAAGCUGUCCCUGGGACCACCCCCCGUGCAGCCCAUUCGCUGUUGCCUGGCGACGGGGGCGGGGCUGUGGUGCGGCUACUGGAACCAGGUGUUUGUGAUUGACAGCCAGAGCAGGAGAGUGGA